GCUACAGGCUUAACACAUGCAAGUCGAGGGGCAGCAUGGUCUUAGCUUGCUAAGACUGAUGGCGACCGGCGCACGGGUGAGUAACACGUAUCCAACCUGCCGUCUACUCUUGGACAGCCUUCUGAAAGGAAGAUUAAUACAAGAUGGCAUCAUGAGUCCGCAUGUUCACAUGAUUAAAGGUAUUCCGGUAGACGAUGGGGAUGCGUUCCAUUAGAUAGUAGGCGGGGUAACGGCCCACCUAGUCUUCGAUGGAUAGGGGUUCUGAGAGGAAGGUCCCCCACAUUGGAACCGAGACACGGUCCAAACUCCUACGGGAGGCAGCAGUGAGGAAUAUUGGUCAAUGGGCGAGAGCCUGAACCAGCCAAGUAGCGUGAAGGAUGACUGCCCUAUGGGUUGUAAACUUCUUUUAUAAAGGAAUAAAGUCGGGUAUGCAUACCCGUUUGCAUGUACUUUAUGAAUAAGGAUCGGCUAACUCCGUGCCAGCAGCCGCGGUAAUACGGAGGAUCCGAGCGUUAUCCGGAUUUAUUGGGUUUAAAGGGAGCGUAGAUGGAUGUUUAAGUCAGUUGUGAAAGUUUGCGGCUCAACCGUAAAAUUGCAGUUGAUACUGGAUAUCUUGAGUGCAGUUGAGGCAGGCGGAAUUCGUGGUGUAGCGGUGAAAUGCUUAGAUAUCACGAAGAACUCCGAUUGCGAAGGCAGCCUGCUAAGCUGCAACUGACAUUGAGGCUCGAAAGUGUGGGUAUCAAACAGGAUUAGAUACCCUGGUAGUCCACACGGUAAACGAUGAAUACUCGCUGUUUGCGAUAUACAGCAAGCGGCCAAGCGAAAGCGUUAAGUAUUCCACCUGGGGAGUACGCCGGCAACGGUGAAACUCAAAGGAAUUGACGGGGGCCCGCACAAGCGGAGGAACAUGUGGUUUAAUUCGAUGAUACGCGAGGAACCUUACCCGGGCUUAAAUUGCAGAUGAAUUACGGUGAAAGCCGUAAGCCGCAAGGCAUCUGUGAAGGUGCUGCAUGGUUGUCGUCAGCUCGUGCCGUGGGGUGUCGGCUUAAGUGCCAUAACGAGCGCAACCCUUGUUGUCAGUUACUAACAGGUUCCGCUGAGGACUCUGACAAGACUGCCAUCGUAAGAUGUGAGGAAGGUGGGGAUGACGUCAAAUCAGCACGGCCCUUACGUCCGGGGCUACACACGUGUUACAAUGGGGGGUACAGAGGGCCGCUACCACGCGAGUGGAUGCCAAUCCCCAAAACCUCUCUCAGUUCGGACUGGAGUCUGCAACCCGACUCCACGAAGCUGGAUUCGCUAGUAAUCGCGCAUCAGCCACGGCGCGGUGAAUACGUUCCCGGGCCUUGUACACACCGCCCGUCAAGCCAUGGGAGCCGGGGGUACCUGAAGUGCGUAACCGCGAGGAGCGCCCUAGGGUAAAACUGGUGACUGGGGCU
rnacentral:rRNA from 1 species